rnacentral:rRNA from 1 species
AGAGUUUGAUCAUGGCUCAGGAUGAACGCUGGCGGCGUGCUUAACACAUGCAAGUCGAACGAUGAACCUCACUUGUGGGGGGAUUAGUGGCGAACGGGUGAGUAACACGUGAGUAACCUGCCCUUGACUCUGGGAUAAGCCUGGGAAACCGGGUCUAAUACUGGAUACGACCUUCCCGCGCAUGCGGUGUUGGUGGAAAGCUUUUGUGGUUUUGGAUGGACUCGCGGCCUAUCAGCUUGUUGGUGGGGUAAUGGCUUACCAAGGCGACGACGGGUAGCCGGCCUGAGAGGGUGACCGGCCACACUGGGACUGAGACACGGCCCAGACUCCUACGGGAGGCAGCAGUGGGGAAUAUUGCACAAUGGGCGGAAGCCUGAUGCAGCGACGCCGCGUGAGGGAUGAAGGCCUUCGGGUUGUAAACCUCUUUCAGUAGGGAAGAAGCUGGCCCUUGUUGGGGUUGGUGACGGUACUUGCAGAAGAAGCGCCGGCUAACUACGUGCCAGCAGCCGCGGUAAUACGUAGGGCGCAAGCGUUAUCCGGAAUUAUUGGGCGUAAAGAGCUCGUAGGCGGUUUGUCGCGUCUGCCGUGAAAGUCCGGGGCUUAACCCCGGAUCUGCGGUGGGUACGGGCAGACUAGAGUGCAGUAGGGGAGACUGGAAUUCCUGGUGUAGCGGUGAAAUGCGCAGAUAUCAGGAGGAACACCGAUGGCGAAGGCAGGUCUCUGGGCUGUAACUGACGCUGAGGAGCGAAAGCAUGGGGAGCGAACAGGAUUAGAUACCCUGGUAGUCCAUGCCGUAACGUUGGGCACUAGGUGUGGGGGACAUUCCACGUUUUCCGCGCCGUAGCUAACGCAUUAAGUGCCCCGCCUGGGGAGUA